AUGAUGACGACUCCUCCUUCGUCACGGCCUCGGCGGCGCUGCUCGAAGCGCCACAGGGCGGCGUGCUGGCGCUCCGUCGCCAUCUUGAUGGAGUCCUGGCGUGCCCAUUCAAGGGCCGCUUCGUCGUCGAGCUCGACCUCGCCGUGCUCCGUCUUCACCGGCGCGAGCCCCGGCUCCGUCUUUGGCUUGACGAAGCGCGAAGGAGGAGCCGACGAGGAGGCGCGCCGGCCGCCCUCGUUGAUGACGAUGCCGCCGCUGCGAGUGCGCCGACCGAGCGGCGUCUCUGCCGCGGGCUCGGCCUUAACGCCGAGCAGCGUCGGAGUGCCGGAGGAGUGGGAGGAGGAGCGGGAGGAGGAAGAGGAGGAGGACGCGCCGAACCUCCUUGGCGCCCAUUGCCCGUCGCGGUGUCGCUGA
rnacentral:rRNA from 1 species